UGACUGGAGAGGUGGCCUGGGAGGCAGCUGGAAAGGUGGCCUGGAAGCCAGUUGGAGAGGUGGCCUGGAAGGCAGUUGGAGAGGUGGCCUGGAAGGCAGUUGGAGAGAUGGCCUGGAAGGCAGUUGGAGAGGUGGCCUGGAAGGCAGUUGGAGAGGUGGCCUGGAAGGAAGUUGGAGAGGUGGCCUGGAAGGAAGUUUGAGAGGUGGCCUGGGAGGCAGCUGGAGAGGUGGCCUGGGAGGCAGCUGGAGCUGUGGCCUGGAAGGAAGUUGGAGAGGUGGCCUGGAAGGCAGUUGGAGAGACGGCCUUGAAGGCAGUUGGAGCUGUGGCCUGGAAGGAAGUUGGAGAGGUGGCCUGGAAGGCAGUUGGAGAGACGGCCUGGAAGGCAGUUGGAGCUGUGGCCUGGAAGGAAGUUGGAGAGGUGGCCUGGAAGGCAGUUGGAGAGACGGCCUGGAAGGCAGUUGGAGCUGUGGCCUGGAAGGAAGUUGGAGAGGUGGCCUGGAAGGAAGUUGGAGAGGUGGCCUGGAUAGCUGUGGGCACAGUGGCCUGAGAAGUGUCUGAAGAGGUGACCUGGGAGGCAUCACUGGCUGAGUUCACCAUUUUCUUCAAUGGCCCGUACACGCUCCUGUCCAGUAGCUUCUUUCUCUCUUUGCAGAAUCUGUACAGAGUGACAUGACAUGUGCAGUACAACUUUGAUCUGAU
rnacentral:lncRNA from 1 species